rnacentral:rRNA from 1 species
CCUACGGGAGGCUGCAGUGGGGAAUAUUGGGCAAUGGGCGCAAGCCUGACCCAGCAACGCCGCAUGAAGGAAGAAGGCUCUCGGGUUGUAAACUUCUUUUCUCAGGGACGAAGCAAGUGACGGUACCUGAGGAAUAAGCCACGGCUAACUACGUGCCAGCAGCCGCGGUAAUACGUAGGUGGCAAGCGUUAUCCGGAUUUACUGGGUGUAAAGGGCGUGUAGGCGGGAAAGCAAGUCAGAUGUGAAAACCAUGGGCUCAACCUGUGGCCUGAAUUUGAAACUGUUUUUCUUGAGUACUGGGGAGGCAGACGGAAUUCCUAGUGUAGCGGUGAAAUGCGUAGAUAUUAGGAGGAACACCAGUGGCGAAGGCGGUCUGCUGGACAGCAACUGACGCUGAGGCGCGAAAGCGUGGGGAGCAAACAGGAUUAGAUACCCCAGUAGUC